CAAAUACAGUGUGCAGUUUACAAUACCUUUGUUAUUUUUGUUUAAUUCAAGGUUGGGCUCGUUUCUGGCAGAGCCUCCUCCGCCACCGCAGAGAGUUGAAAGACAAAUGAAAGCACCCAGCAAAGAGGCCAAACGAAUGAUGCCCACCCAGCUGAAGAAAAUGGAAGAAUCUCAUCAGGAGGUGACAGAGAAAGAGGUUGAAAGAAUUCUUGGAUGUCUGCAAAAAUACUUUGCUGAUGACCCUGAGGAACCCAUUUCAUAUUUUGAGUUCGUCAUUGACCCCAACUCCUUCUCCCGGACUGUGGAGAAC